rnacentral:rRNA from 1 species
GAUGAACGCUAGCUACAGGCUUAACACAUGCAAGUCGAGGGGUAACGAGAGGAAAGCUUGCUUUCCUUGUUGACGACCGGCGCACGGGUGAGUAACGCGUAUCCAACCUGCCCCCAACUAGGGAAUAACCUUGCGAAAGUAAGACUAAUACCCUAUAAUUUCCUCAGAUGUCAUCUGACGAGGAAUAAAGAUUUAUCGGCUGUGGAUGGGGAUGCGUCUGAUUAGCUUGUUGGCGGGGUAACGGCCCACCAAGGCAACGAUCAGUAGGGGUUCUGAGAGGAAGGUCCCCCAGAUUGGAAAUGAGACACGGUCCAAACUCCUACGGGAGGCAGCAGUGAGGAAUAUUGGUCAAUGGGCGGAAGCCUGAACCAGCCAAGUAGCGUGCAGGAUGACGGCCCUAUGGGUUGUAAACUGCUUUUAUACAGGAAUAAAGUUAGCCACGUGUGGUUAUUUGUAGGUACUGUAUGAAUAAGGACCGGCUAAUUCCGUGCCAGCAGCCGCCGUAA